UACGUAGGUGACAAGCGUUGUCCGGAUUUACUGGGCGUAAAGAGCGCGCAGGCGGUCGAUCAAGUCGAGUGUGAAAGCCCCCGGCUCAACUGGGGAGGGUCAUUCGAUACUGAUCGACUCGAAGGCAGGAGAGGGUAGUGGAAUUCCCGGUGUAGUGGUGAAAUGCGUAGAUAUCGGGAGGAACACCAGUGGCGAAGGCGGCUUCCUGGCCUGCUCUUGACGCUGAGGCGCGAAAGCUAGGGUAGCAAACGGG
rnacentral:rRNA from 1 species